rnacentral:rRNA from 1 species
UACGUAGGCAGCGAGCGUUGUUCGGAGUUACUGGGCGUAAAGAGUGCGUAGGCGGUUUUCUAAGUUUGGUGUGAAAUCUCCCGGCUCAACUGGGAGGGUGCGCCGAAGACUGGAAGGCUUGAGUAUGGGAGAGGUAAGCGGAAUUCCUGGUGUAGCGGUGAAAUGCGUAGAUAUCAGGAGGAACACCUGCGGUGUAGACGGCUUACU